AUGGCCGAGGUCCCUGGAGCUGCCGGCGCCCUCGGCUCCCGGCCCCGGGAGGUCGUGGACGCCCCAGAGCGCGCGCCUGCUCCGUCCCGCGAGCUCUGCUCCGCCGUCGAUGCCGUUAAGGAGGUUCCUGGAGGUUCGGAGGUCAGAGGCGCCGUUGACGCCGACAAGGCAGCCGGUCUGUGUUCCGGCGCCGAGCUCGAAUCGGCGGAGCCGGGUGUUUUGGAUGCGAGAUCAGAAGCUCCGGCGGCGCGAAUCCACGAACAGAAGCUGGGUUGCGGGAGUACGGGUUCCGAUGAAGCUGCCGCAAUCAGCCAUAUCCCCUCACCGGUUGAGCCGUCGCCGUCAGACGCCAGUUCGAAUUCAGACACCAACACCACCACUGGGGCCAUCGGUGGUGCUUCUUCUCCCCCUGCGGACGGGCCCCUGUCCCCGUCCCUGGCAGAAGCAGCUGAUUCUCGAGGACGCGAGCCAGAGGCAGCACACGAAGAGCCAACGGGCGCGUGUGGGGCGCCUGCGGUGGCCUCUAGCGAGCUCGGAGUCGAGUCCAGAGGGGAUUCCGACGGUCAAAACGGCCUUAUCCAAGGGGAAUUGGAGUUGCGUGCCGGCGGCUUUUUGCGUGGCGAAGGGGCAGAGACGGAGCCUGAGGCUCUAGAGGCCUCCACGACGCAGGUUGAGGAAGGAGUGGACGGGAUGGAGACGAGCUUGGAUGACUCCGAGGCGUCGGACGGCUCGACCACGCAGGAGGACUCUGACACCGACGUGGAGACGGAGUCCAGCAGCUCCAGCGUAGAGGAACAGGACACGGGAUAUGGCGUCCACGUCCCACUCAUGGAACAAGUGACCUGUGCGGUGGCCAGGGAGAACAACGCUUCGGAGACGAAGAGUUCUGAUAGGAUGGAUUCAGUAGCUGUAUCAACACUUGUGCUGGCUUCAGGUGCAGCCAUGUUACCUCACCCUUCAAAGGUGCACACAGGUGGUGAAGAUGCUUAUUUCAUAGCUUGCGGCGGCUGGUUUGGUGUAGCAGAUGGAGUUGGUCAGUGGUCAUUUGAAGGAAUCAAUGCGGGGUUGUAUGCGAGAGAGUUAAUGGAUAGUUCCAAAAAAAUUGUUACGGAGAAUCAAGGGGCACCAGGGAUGAGAACCGAGGAAGUUCUUGCUAUGGCGACAGUUGAAGCACGGUCCCCUGGCUCUUCAACUAUCUUGGUUGCUCACUUUGAUGGGCAGGUCCUUCAUGUAUCUAAUAUUGGCGAUUCCGGGUUACUGGUGAUAAGAAAUGGACAAGUAUAUACACAAACAAAGCCGAUGACAUACGGUUUCAAUUUCCCGUUGCAAAUUGAAAAUGGCGUCGAUCCUUCAAGACUUGUACAGAAUUACGCUAUCGAUCUACAAGAAGGUGAUACCAUCAUAACAGCGUCAGAUGGUCUGUUCGACAACGUCUACGACCAUGAGGUGGCAGACAUUGUCUCAAAAUCUCUAGAAGCCGACCGCAAGCCUACGGAGAUUGCCGACCUCCUGGCUGCUAGAGCAAAGGAAGUGGGCAGGUCCGGGUCCGGGAGGAGCCCGUUCUCGGAUGCGGCGCUCGCAGAAGGGUACCUGGGUUACUCCGGGGGCAAGUUGGAUGAUGUAACAGUUGUCGUGUCCAUUGUUCGGAAAUCUGAACUAUAG
rnacentral:rRNA from 1 species